GUUGCUCCUAGUACGAGAGGACCGGAGUGAACGAACCUCUGGUGUUCCGGUUGUCACGCCAGUGGCAUUGCCGGGUAGCUACGUUCGGACGGGAUAACCGCUGAAAGCAUCUAAGCGGGAAGCCCCCUUCAAGAUGAGAUCUCGCUGGGAACUUGAUUCCCCUAAAGAGCCGUUUAAGACUAAGACGUUGAUAGGCUGGGUGUGGAAGCGCUGCGAGGCGUUGAGCUAACCAGUACUAAUUGCUCGUGAGGCUUGACCAUA
rnacentral:rRNA from 1 species